rnacentral:lncRNA from 1 species
AAAAGGAUGUCACUCCAGGUGGAGAGAGGAUGACCAUGGAGGAAAGCAGUGUGGUUGGAAUACACAGGGUGUUUACCAGGAUCAGCAUGGAAUUUAUUGAACGGAGCACAGUGAGAUGCAGGGAGCAAGAGAAGAAAAGACUGGCAAGGACACUGUGAAGCGCUAAAUGAAAUACCAGACAAAACAAAGUGCUGUGCCUGCCUUUGAUCCACCUAAACUCUGGGGUCAAAGAGAAAAUAUACCACAGAGUAUCAGCAUUGUUUUUAAAAAAAAGGUCACACUAGGUUGUCUUAUCGAGGUGGCUCAGAAGGUAAAGUCGCAAGCUUGGCAAGUUGGGUUUAAUCUCCAGAGGCCGGGAGUAGGAGGAAACCAACUCCACGAAGUUGUCUCCUGACCUCUACACGCAUGCUGUCUAUGACAAAUGUGUCCUCCAGCUCUACACUCAGAAUAAAUAAAAUAUAAAUGAAAAAAGGUUGUCAUUGUUCCAGCCUGGCUUAGAACUUACCAUGCAUCAGAAGAUGGCCUUGAACUUCCAAUCCUUCUGAUUUCUGGGAUUCUACGCGUUUAUACGAAACCCCUCAUCUCCUGAUUCCAUUUGGCUAUGAAUCUCCAGAGAAUUCCAGGUCACAAUUACACUAAAGCUGGAUCAGUUCUUGCACGAGAACGCAUGAAUUCUGAGACCUUUGCUUUUGAACAACCUGCUUCCUCUACAAGGUGUGCUACAGAAGCAGUUGAUCAACUCUUGAGCAUCGCCUCGUGUUUCUGUGACCAUACGCCUCUCCUUUAAGACACUGGGAUCUAGAACUUUACUUUUGUAAAUGGCUUCCCACCAUUUUCUGUGUUUUCUUUGUGGACAGUAACUUGACUCUCUCCUUUCUGAUCCAAGUCACUGUGGCAAAGGCAGCUGCAUCACCAUGGAACAACCUAAGCAUUCAUUCUCCAACCACCUCUGAAGUUCACAGUACACAGCACUCUCCAACAACUCACGACAAUGAGGAGAAAUUGUCAGAACCUCAAUUUUUCACCAUGUUUGGUAAAGUAUUUCUUUAUGAAUUUUAUGAUUUAUGUUUAAGUUGCUCAAGUUUGGGACAAAAUACCAAGCCUUUGAUACAAGCUGUCCUCCAAGAAUAUAUCAACAAUCAAAUUGUAAACACAGACAUGUUAGAAGUGAGGGACUUUACAAGACACCAGUUAUUGUUCCCACUGCCGUAUCUAAAUACCUGGAAAGACCUGGAUCCAAGGUCGAAUGUUGCUACUUUUGAACUGGGAUGGUGUCAGAAAACAAGGUAGCUGCUUCUUGGCUUCUCGGUUCCCAUUCCAUCAAACUGGUAGAUUGGACCCAAACAGCCGUGGUCCAUCUGGUAUACCUAACAAUGAAGUUCAAUGGCAAGCUCCAAAAACGGCCAAAUGUCCAGACUGCAUUACUCCUUAUCCACUGUGGCAACCAGCGAGAAUGUGUAGCACCAAAGUAUGAGCUCACAGAUAUGCUACAGGAGACAGAGAAGUUGAAUAUCCCCUGAGAAGACUUCUAAGAUAUUAGAUAUCUGUGACAGAAAAUGAAGAUAUUUAAGAACCAUAAUCUCUCUGCUCCUUUGAAUCCAUUUGAUGUAUAAACACCAUUCUUCACUUCUAUUCUCAAAUUUCCAACUCUCUUAAGCAUGUAUUCAUGCUAUGCGGUAUUUUAAUGUUUGCGAAACUUACUAGGUGGGCUGAGUUGUUGUAACCUGGCACACAUAGUAAGAGACUGAAACUGAAGGAAAUAAAAUUUGCAUUCUA